CGAGACAGUGAUGUGGAGCGAAUCUCAAAAAAUUGUCCCAGUUCGGAUUGCAGGCUGAAAUUCGCCUUCAUGAAGCCGGAAUUGCUAGUAAUGGCAGGUCAGCAUACUGCCGUGAAUACGUUCCCGGGCCUUGUACACACCGCCCGUCACACCAUGAGAGUUGGGGAUACCCGAAGCCUGUGAGCUAACUUAACGGAGGCAGCAGUCGAAGGUAGAAUCAAUGAUUGGGGUGAAGUCGUAACAAGGUAAC
rnacentral:rRNA from 1 species